rnacentral:rRNA from 1 species
CCUACGGGAGGCUGCAGUCGAGAAUCAUUCACAAUGGGGGAAACCCUGAUGGUGCGACGCCGCGUGGGGGAAUGAAGGUCUUCGGAUUGUAAACCCCUGUCAUGUGGGAGCAAAUUAAAAAGCUAGUACCACACGAGGAAGAGACGGCUAACUCUGUGCCAGCAGCCGCGGUAAUACAGAGGUCUCAAGCGUUGUUCGGAAUCACUGGGCGUAAAGCGUGCGGAGGCUGUUUCGUGAGUCGUGUGUGAAAGGCGCGGGCUCAACCCGCGGACGGCACAUGAUACUGCGAGACUAGAGUAAUGGAGGGGGAACCGGAAUUCGCGGUGUAGCAGUGAAAUGCGUAGAUAUCGAGAGGAACACUCGUGGCGAAGGCGGGUUCCUGGACAUUAACUGACGCUGAGGCACGAAGGCCAGGGGAGCGAAAGGGAUUAGAUACCCUAGUAGUC